rnacentral:rRNA from 1 species
UACGUAGGGAGCAAGCGUUGUCCGGAAUCAUUGGGCGUAAAGCGCACGUAGGCGGCUUUGUAAGUUAGAGGUGAAAGCCCGGGGCUCAACCCCGGAAUUGCCUUUAAGACUGCAUCGCUUGAAUCCAGGAGAGGUGAGUGGAAUUCCGAGUGUAGAGGUGAAAUUCGUAGAUAUUCGGAAGAACACCAGUGGCGAAGGCGGCUCACUGGACUGGUAUUGACGCUGAGGUGCGAAAGCGUGGGGAGCAAACAGG